rnacentral:rRNA from 1 species
AAUAGAUACCCGGGUAGUCCACGCCGUAAACGAUGAGUGCUAAGUGUUAGAGGGUUUCCGCCCUUUAGUGCUGCAGCUAACGCAUUAAGCACUCCGCCUGGGGAGUACGGCCGCAAGGCUGAAACUCAAAGGAAUUGACGGGGGCCCGCACAAGCGGUGGAGCAUGUGGUUUAAUUCGAAGCAACGCGAAGAACCUUACCAGGUCUUGACAUCCUCUGCCAACCCUAGAGAUAGGGCGUUCCCCUUCGGGGGACAGAGUGACAGGUGGUGCAUGGUUGUCGUCAGCUCGUGUCGUGAGAUGUUGGGUUAAGUCCCGCAACGAGCGCAACCCUUGAUCUUAGUUGCCAGCAUUCAGUUGGGCACUCUAAGGUGACUGCCGGUGACAAACCGGAGGAAGGUGGGGAUGACGUCAAAUCAUCAUGCCCCUUAUGACCUGGGCUACACACGUGCUACAAUGGAUGGUACAAAGAGCUGCGAACCCGCGGGGGUAAGCGAAUCUCAUAAAGCCAUUCUCAGUUCGGA